AGUGGGAGCACAGGUUUACCUGUGUGACUGCGUACCUUUUGUAUAAUGGGUCAGCGACUUAUAUUCUGUAGCAAGGUUAACCGAAUAGGGGAGCCGGAGGGAAACCGAGUCUUAAUUGGGCGUUAAGUUGCAGGGUAUAGACCCGAAACCCGGUGAUCUAGCCAUGGGCAGGUUGAAGGUUGGGUAACACUAACUGGAGGACCGAACCGACUAAUGUUGAAAAAUUAGCGGAUGACCUGUGGCUGGGGGUGAAAGGCCAAUCAAACCGGGAGAUAGCUGGUUCUCCCCGAAAGCUAUUUAGGUAGCGCCUCGUGAAUUCAUCUCCGGGGGUAGAGCACUGUUUCGGCUAGGGGGCCAUCCCGGCUUACCAACCCGAUGCAAACUGCGAAUACCGGAGAAUGUUAUCACGGGAGACACACGGCGGGUGCUAACGUCCGUCGUGAAGAGGGAAACAACCCAGACCGCCAGCUAAGGUCCCAAAGUCAUGGUUAAGUGGGAAACGAUGUGGGAAGGCCCAGACAGCCAGGAUGUUGGCUUAGAAGCAGCCAUCAUUUAAAGAAAGCGUAAUAGCUCACUGGUCGAGUCGGCCUGCGCGGAAGAUGUAACGGGGCUAAACCAUGCACCGAAGCUGCGGCAGCGACGCUGAUGCGUUGUUGGGUAGGGGAGCGUUCUGUAAGCCUGCGAAGGUGGCCUGUGAGGGUUGCUGGAGGUAUCAGAAGUGCGAAUGCUGACAUAAGUAACGAUAAAGCGGGUGAAAAGCCCGCUCGCCGGAAGACCAAGGGUUCCUGUCCAACGUUAAUCGGGGCAGGGUGAGUCGACCCCUAAGGCGAGGCCGAAAGGCGUAGUCGAUGGGAAACGGGUUAAUAUUCCCGUACUUGGUGUUACUGCGAAGGGGGGACGGAGAAGGCUAUGUUGGCCGGGCGACGGUUGUCCCGGUUUAAGCGUGUAGGUGUGUGUUCCAGGUAAAUCCGGUUCACUUUAACACUGAGGCGUGAUGACGAGGCACUACGGUGCUGAAGCAACAAAUGCCCUGCUUCCAGGAAAAGCCUCUAAGCAUCAGGUAACAUCAAAUCGUACCCCAAACCGACACAGGUGGUCAGGUAGAGAAUACCAAGGCGCUUGAGAGAACUCGGGUGAAGGAACUAGGCAAAAUGGUGCCGUAACUUCGGGAGAAGGCACGCUGACACGUAGGUGAAGUGAUUUACUCAUGGAGCUGAAGUCAGUCGAAGAUACCAGCUGGCUGCAACUGUUUAUUAAAAACACAGCACUGUGCAAACACGAAAGUGGACGUAUACGGUGUGACGCCUGCCCGGUGCCGGAAGGUUAAUUGAUGGGGUCAGCGCAAGCGAAGCUCCUGAUCGAAGCCCCGGUAAACGGCGGCCGUAACUAUAACGGUCCUAAGGUAGCGAAAUUCCUUGUCGGGUAAGUUCCGACCUGCACGAAUGGCGUAAUGAUGGCCAGGCUGUCUCCACCCGAGACUCAGUGAAAUUGAACUCGCUGUGAAGAUGCAGUGUACCCGCGGCAAGACGGAAAGACCCCGUGAACCUUUACUAUAGCUUGACACUGAACAUUGAGCCUUGAUGUGUAGGAUAGGUGGGAGGCUUUGAAGUGUGGACGCCAGUCUGCAUGGAGCCGACCUUGAAAUACCACCCUUUAAUGUUUGAUGUUCUAACGUGGACCCGUGAUCCGGGUUGCGGACAGUGUCUGGUGGGUAGUUUGACUGGGGCGGUCUCCUCCUAAAGAGUAACGGAGGAGCACGAAGGUUGGCUAAUCCUGGUCGGACAUCAGGAGGUUAGUGCAAUGGCAUAAGCCAGCUUGACUGCGAGCGUGACGGCGCGAGCAGGUGCGAAAGCAGGUCAUAGUGAUCCGGUGGUUCUGAAUGGAAGGGCCAUCGCUCAACGGAUAAAAGGUACUCCGGGGAUAACAGGCUGAUACCGCCCAAGAGUUCAUAUCGACGGCGGUGUUUGGCACCUCGAUGUCGGCUCAUCACAUCCUGGGGCUGAAGUAGGUCCCAAGGGUAUGGCUGUUCGCCAUUUAAAGUGGUACGCGAGCUGGGUUUAGAACGUCGUGAGACAGUUCGGUCCCUAUCUGCCGUGGGCGCUGGAGAACUGAGGGGGGCUGCUCCUAGUACGAGAGGACCGGAGUGGACGCAUCACUGGUGUUCGGGUUGUCAUGCCAAUGGCACUGCCCGGUAGCUAAAUGCGGAAGAGAUAAGUGCUGAAAGCAUCUAAGCACGAAACUUGCCCCGA
rnacentral:rRNA from 1 species